rnacentral:rRNA from 1 species
UACAUGGGGUGCAAACGUUGCUCGGAAUUAUUGGGCGUAAAGAGCUCGUAGGCGGUUUGUUGCGUCUGCUGUGAAAACUCGGGGCUUAACCCCGGGCCUGCAGUGGGUACGGGCAGACUAGAGUGCGGUAGGGGAGACUGGAAUUCCUGGUGUAGCGGUGAAAUGCGUAGAUAUCAGGAGGAACACCUGCGGUGUAGACGGCUUUCUGGGCCAUUGCUGACGCUGAGACACGAAAGCGUGGGUAGCAAACAGG